rnacentral:misc_RNA from 1 species
UUUCCGUAGGUGAACCUGCGGAAGGAUCAUUACUGAGAACUUGCCCUCCGGGGUAGACCUCCCACCCUAUGUCUAUAUACUUUGUUGCUUUGGCAGGCCUGCCCUGUGGCUACUGGCCUUGGCUAGUGAGUGCCUGCCAGAGAACCAACACUCUAAUAUUUUUACUGUCCGAGUACUAUUCAAUAGUUAAAACUUUCAACAACGGAUCUCUUGGUUCUG